AACGAACGCUGGCGGCAGGCUUAACACAUGCAAGUCGAGCGCCCCGCAAGGGGAGCGGCAGACGGGUGAGUAACGCGUGGGAAUCUACCCAUCUCUACGGAAUAACGCAUGGAAACGUGUGCUAAUACCGUAUACGUCCUUCGGGAGAAAGAUUUAUCGGAGGUUGAUGAGCCCGCGUUGGAUUAGCUAGUUGGUGGGGUAAAGGCCUACCAAGGCGACGAUCCAUAGCUGGACUGAGAGGGUGAGCAGCCGCACUGGGUCUGAGACACGGCCCAGUCUCCUACGGGAGGCAGAUGUGGGGAAUAUUGUACAAUGGGCGCAAGCCUGAUCCAGCCAAGCCGCGUGAGUGAUGAAGGCCCUAGGGUUGUAAAGCUCUUUCACCGGUGAAGAUAAUUACGGUAACCGUGGAAGAAGCCCCGGCUAACUUCGUGCCAGCAGCCGCGGUAACAC
rnacentral:rRNA from 1 species